rnacentral:misc_RNA from 1 species
GUUGCGUCAAGAACGUUAUUGUUUUACUGUUAAUUUUCGAUAUAUUUGUUAUUGCAGUGUUCUGUCAUAAAUCGUUUCAUUUUCGCCCUUGUACACAGACUUAUUAGCAUAAUACAAUGGUUUACAUGCAACCUACGUGGUACAUAACAAGUUGGGGAACAUUCUUAAGUAUUUCGCCUGUCAAAAAAUAUCCAUUUAAAUUCAUC